rnacentral:miRNA from 1 species
AGGAUGAGCAAAGAAAGAUUUUU